rnacentral:rRNA from 1 species
UCGAGGAUCUUCGGCAAUGGGGGCAACCCUGACCGAGCGACGCCGCGUGCGCGAUGAAGGCCUUCGGGUUGUAAAGCGCUGUCGAGGGGGAGAAAACCCCGCAAGGGGUUGAUCUAUCCCUGGAGGAAGCACGGGCUAAGUUCGUGCCAGCAGCCGCGGUAAGACGAACCGUGCGAACGUUGUUCGGAAUCACUGGGCUUAAAGGGCGCGUAGGCGGGCUGCCAAGUCUGGGGUGAAAUCCUCCGGCUCAACCGGAGAACGGCCUCGGAUACUGGCGGUCUCGAGGGAGGUAGGGGCGUGCGGAACUAAGGGUGGAGCGGUGAAAUGCGUUGAUAUCCUUAGGAACUCCGGUGGCGAAGGCGGCACGCUGGACCUCUUCUGACGCUGAGGCGCGAAAGCCAGGGGAGCAAACGG